UCAGUUAGCAAUUGAAGCAUUCA
rnacentral:miRNA from 1 species